UGUCUUUGGCUUCCAGAGCUCUUCGAUGGAGAAUGUCCCGGUGCCAGACUAUCAGCAGGAAGAGGAAGCCCAGAAGCACAUGGCCCAGGUUGCUGAGAAUGUUGUUGAAGGCACUACAGGGAUGAGUUAGAAAUCAUGAGAGAGUCAAGGCAAUCAAAGGGACUCAGAGGAUGAAUGAAUGCACAAAUGAACAGAGUGAAGACUUUCCCUACAGGAUGGAAGCUGGGGUUCUGGGAUUGCGGGCAGCACUUACUGUCUGUUGCCUUUUCAAGCUUCCAGAAGCAGCCUGCGUUUCUUGAUUCACGGCCUUGACUUUCUCCUUCUUCAAAGUACAUCACUCCAAUCUCUUCCUUCAUCAUAUCUCCACCUUUUCUUCCUUUCACCUUCUUGUCUCCCUCUUACAGGACUCUUGUGAAUACAUUAGGGCCAUGUUGCUAUGGAUUGACUGAAUUGUGUCCCCUAAUGUCCAUACAUUAAAGCUUAAUCCCUACUGUAAUGUUGAAGGUGGGAAAUCCUAUUAUGGUAAUUGGAAUGUGGGGCCUCAAAGAGGUGAUUAGAUUGUAGUGCGAUGUCAUGGUAAAUGGAUUAAUAAUGAUGGUCAGGGGCAUGAUUCUAAUGGAUUUAAAAGGUGAGUGUGUGAGAGUUUCUCUUUCUCUGCUCCACCAUUUUCUGCCAUGUGAGACCCCUGCAUUGCCGUAAAGCCACCAACAAAGAAUACCAUCACCAGAUGUGUUCCCUGGACUUUGGACUUCCCAGCCUCAGAAACUGUAAGCAAUAAAUUUCAUUUUCUUAUGAAUUAACUAGUUCCAUGUAUUUUGUUCCUAGCAUCAGAAAUGUACUAAUACACAAGUAGAUAAUCCAAGAUAUUCUUCAUGACUUUAUCAUGUCUGCAAAGUCUCUUUUGCUAUGUAAGGUAACAUAUUCAUUGGUUCUGGUGAUUAAAAAGUGGACAUCUUUUGGGAGCCAUAAUUCUAUCUACUCUUCUGAUCUGUAAAUACAGGAUGUUUUUCUGUUUAUUUAGUUCUUUAAUUUCU